rnacentral:lncRNA from 1 species
UGACUCCGGUCCCCCGGGUGCUGGUCGACUCUGCACGCGUCGUCGUCUUCGAGACGAGACGAGGUGAAGAGGUGGAGAAGCAAGAAUACUGCACGUGACGGAGGGAAAUACCUGUGCUGUAACCGUAGAACCGAAGACUCCGAGAGACGGAAUCGAGGGAACCUCAAUCCGACAACGAGGGUGAGCGACUCUGCGGCACUCCGCGUCUGAGGGGCGAUACUUUGGAUUGUUGUUCGCAGCUCUGGAAGUACGGAGGUGUCUACCCUUGGUCUACGAGGGUGGAAUUCGCGCCCGCCGCACGCGACACGCACGCGCGAUUAGCACCAAGGUGCUGCGCCUGGGAUUGGCGUCCUGUAUUUUUCUGGAUCAGUAGCAAUGAGUCUGCGCUUCAGUUCGUUCCUGCCGACUCCAGGAGGCCCAACAAGAACGAUGGGCCUGUAGGACCCGGGCCUCGGAUAGAGCUUGGCGACUUCCUCCCUUUCUCGCCUGACGACGAUACCAACCAAUGAGAAUCGUCCUGACUAACAAUAUGAAGUACAUCUCCCUUGACAAAAUCCAAGCCUGCUUCCUUGCAAGGUAUGAAAGGAUCAUCAGCCGCGGUGUAUGAGAAAUGUGCCCGAACACGAACCUGCGAAUGAGUAUUUAAGAACUACUUCUAGGCUCAACAUAUACAUAGUUUGAAAUUAGAACAGAAAUUUAAGGCGUUCCAAGCUUUCGUUUGAGAAUAUACCUCAUUACCUUGCUUUCCCUGACGCCAGACUUGCUAUCCGCUGGAAUAAUCACAAACGAGAUGGUGCCUUUCGUAUUUUUCUAAAUGAGAGAAAAAGAAAACAUUGCAAAAAUAGAGACGUGUACUUAUUAAAUAUCACGAAAUCUUAAAAAGUGUGCUCACCAGAAUUUCCAGCACAUAACUCGGUGUCUUUCCUUCAACGCUGAUACCAUUCACCUCGCAAAUCUCGUCGCCGGCGUGAAUAACGCCGGAUCUAUCCGCUGCGCCUCCCAGCAUUAUCCGAACAAAGAUGAUCUUGCCGGUUUCUUCGCAGUUUCUUAUCGUCGCCCCCUAUAAAAAAAUAGAAUCUGAUAUAUAGGGUUAUUUUGUUAGGCGAUGCCUUUAAUCAAGUAAAUAAUAUGCGAUUGAUCAAGCUGCACAAGUAUGGUUAUUUGUUUUAUAUUUUUCCAUCCAAGCAUUGAAUUCUAUUGAAUAAACGAAAAGAGAAACAGCUUUAAAAUUCAAGCAUUCCACUUGGAACAAGAGCCUGGCAUACCAGACGGUUACUAUUUCUGCUGACUGUGCAGCUUAGAGUGAAAUCAGAGAACACAACUCGUCUCUCGAAGCGCAAGAAUUUAACGAUCGUUCAAUAUUAUCAAAGCAUUCUUUGAAUUUUUCAAAUUGACUGUAAAAUGUUAUGUUUAUAAGGGUAAUAAACUUGGCAGCACAACGGUUUUGAAACCGUACUGUAAAAUGCACGUACUGUAAAAUAUUUAUGCGAUCAGGUUGCCAAAUGGUAAAAAAAAAUUGGCCAGUUUAUUUUUGGUAAAACAAAACUACACGAAAAGCAAAAUUUCUGAAACAUUUUGAUUCAGAUAUUUUUUUUUUUUCAUUAAUGAGAAUAACAUUUCCAAAGCACAGUGAAGAACUUACCACAAAUGGUUCAACUUCAGCACCACACUUCAACGCAAGUUUGUCAAUGAUAAAAGAUAUUUGUUAAUAUAUUUAGCUUUUCAAUCACAAUUGUGUUUCUCUUAGAGAGAAAGCUAAUGUAUCAUCGUCUUCUUAGUAGAAAAGCAGUCGCAAUAAAUGAACCCUAACUAUAA